CGAUGGUAAAUUGAAACAGAUUGUUU
rnacentral:sRNA from 1 species